rnacentral:lncRNA from 1 species
AUUGUUUGUUUUCGAGCCCAAGAAAUUAGAAGUCUCUUGUCCAAAACUUGCGGCUACAAGUGUUCGCCACAAUGUAGGAAAGCGUUGUAAAAUUGGCCUAAGGUUUUCCAAAGUGCACUGAGAUGUGGAGCGACUAUGCCUUAACACACUGCCACUACUCAAGCAAUUUUGAAUUGGAUUAGGGGCAUACAUCAGAGUUGCUAAAGCUGCCAUUUCACCCCCUCCUUCCGCAAUAUCAUCAACAGUACGAAUUAUUUCAUCAAUCUCCAGAACACUGAGGUUGCUAUCAUGCGACAUUAUAGACCGAGCAUUACAAAAUGAUGCAUCAUAUUCAUGACCCUUAAUCCUAGAUAGAAGCAACCAUUUUGCCCAUUGGCAAUCUCCCUGAAAAGAUGUACAAAACAAAAUAAAUCACGAGUGAAUGCUUAAAUUAUUCACUGCAGUCAAUAAGCCACAUUGUAUCACAAUUUUUUUCAUUUUUUUUUUUUUUUUUUUUGAGAAAGAUGCAACGGACUUGCAGGGAAACAUACAGGUACAACUUCAAGAUAAACUAGGAGGUUCUUAGCUCGUAAUUAGUAUGCUUUUAUUCUUGUUUUCUAGAGUUGGCCACAAUUGAUAUAAAUGUUGAAACUGGUGCAUAAAACUAAUACAUAGAAAAGAAUCACUUGUAAUUAUGGCCAGUUGCCUUUAUUGCAAUAUCAAUACAGCUAGCAAGUAGCAAACUGGAAAAUAAAUCAUAAAACCAUCCAAAAGAAAUUCAUAUGUGUAUCAGAAAAGGAAAGUACACCUGGAUAUACAGUUGAAUCAACCUCCGCACAGUUUUAGGAAACCAAGAUGGCAGCAUUUGUAGAAGUGAAGUAUCACGGGCAGAAGAGAAGAAGAUAUUGUCACGCCAACACAAGUAGUUUGACAGGGCUGAAUUUCAAUAUGAAUAAAUCAAAAAUUGCAAAUGGAAGAAUAUGCUACAGAAAAUUAAACAUUAUAGGGCUGAUUAAUGCGUAACCCACAGAAGGACAAAAGAGUAUGAAGUUCAAACCAACCAUUGUUUGUUUUCGAGCCCAAGAAAUUAGAAGUCUCUUGUCCAAAACUUGCGGCUACAAGUGUUCGCCACAAUGUAGGAAAGCGUUGUAAAAUUGGCCUAAGGUUUUCCAAAGUGCACUGAGAUGUGGAGCGACUAUGCCUUAACACACUGCCACUACUCAAGCAAUUUUGAAUUGGAUUAGGGGCAUACAUCAGAGUUGCUAAAGCUGCCAUUUCACCC